rnacentral:rRNA from 1 species
ACGGCCGUACCAUACUGAAUAUACCGGUUCUCGUUAGAUCACCGAAGUUAAGCAUCAUUGGGCGCGGUCAGUACUUGGGUGGGUGACCACCUGGGAACACUGCGUGCCGUU